GACGAAAGAGGGAGGAGGGACGAAUACAUGCAAGUUGAGCGCUGAAGGUUGGUACUUGUACCAACUGGAUGAGCAGCGAACGGGUGAGUAACGCGUGGGGAAUCUGCCUUUGAGCGGGGGACAACAUUUGGAAACGAAUGCUAAUACCGCAUAAAAACUUUAAACACAAGUUUUAAGUUUGAAAGAUGCAAUUGCAUCACUCAAAGAUGAUCCCGCGUUGUAUUAGCUAGUUGGUGAGGUAAAGGCUCACCAAGGCGAUGAUACAUAGCCGACCUGAGAGGGUGAUCGGCCACAUUGGGACUGAGACACGGCCCAAACUCCUACGGGAGGCAGCAGUAGGGAAUCUUCGGCAAUGGACGAAAGUCUGACCGAGCAACGCCGCGUGAGUGAAGAAGGUUUUCGGAUCGUAAAACUCUGUUGGUAGAGAAGAACGUUGGUGAGAGUGGAAAGCUCAUCAAGUGACGGUAACUACCCAGAAAGGGACGGCUAACUACGUG
rnacentral:rRNA from 1 species